CAUGGGCUUCGGGCACACAUCGUCGGCCUGCACUGCCGCCUUCGUAGACCCAAGUUUCUCUCCCCGCUUUGUCUGGUUUCCUCUAGAAAAAGGAAACAAUUCGUUUGGGAGCCGGAGAUUUGCAACAAAAAAAGGAGCUGGAGAGGAUAAGGUGAAAUCGGCGGCACCGCCGCCGCCGCUACGGGGCACGAGCAUGGAGGCGGCUGGGAUAGUGUGGUGCCGCCGCCGCUACGGAGCACGGAGGCGGCUGGGAACAGGGGGGAGACGAUGGCGGCCUGAGCGGGCGGCGUUGGGCGCCAUGGGGUUCAACAUCUCGCUGGCCUUGACUCACGCACGUCCCGUUCCGCUCAGGGCACAUCCUGCCUCAGCAGCCACACCUCUCCCUCCAAGCACAGAGCAUGCUGCCCCCACCCCCGUACAAUGAACGAGCAUGCCAAGGAGAGGAACUCCAUGCGUAUGGGAGGCCAGCCGCUCCCCAAUCUUCAGAUCUGACCAACGUGGGAGGAAUUGUUGGAGCACAACCAAAUCCAAACGCCUCACCGAGUAUAAUGUUUGUGACUAACACCUAUUUAUCAACACAUGGGAUGACCAUGUCGUGGGUGAAGAAGUUUGCAAUGGAUCAACCUUGAAGACACUCGGAACAUUUACUUCGAGUGAAGACUCUAGCGGCGCUAUUGCCACUGCCCCGACCUCGCCGAUUGUUGACCUCGCUGGCUUGACAGCGUCCUUUUUGAUUCUGAACAUAGGUGCUACUCUCCUGGACACCGCCGACUCAGGUCCUACUCUCCUGGACGCCGCCGACUCAGGUGGAUAACGGUGGCACUAAGGCCUGCAGUAGCGAGUGGAGAGCGCCCAGGCCGAGCUCCCCAACGUUCAUGUCGUACAGGAGCUAAUCCAUGUUGAGUGGGCCAUAUCGGUCUUUGUCUGCACGCAUUAUUAUAUCCUCUUCUUAUCUCCCCCGCUUGUGCCACCGGAGAAUAUCAAGGAUGUGGCGUCGGCACUGAGCCGCCACUGGUAGGCAAGGGCAUGUGGCCUGGUCAUGAACGAUGAGAUUGGGGUCGGCACACACCAAAGUGACACACAGAGGCAGAGUUCUAUAAAAAAAAUAAGGAAUCCAUCUAAUUCUACUUGACAACCUUCCAACACGAGGUAACAUCAUUUGUGGCAUGGGUAUAUCUUAUAUCUACUAAAUAUCACUUCUAGAUAUUGGCGUUACGUACCAAGUGUAUACAUCUAUAUUGCCAAUGCUUCUGCGCUUUUGAUAAUUAGUCAAUAUUUUCAUGUAUUUGUUACAACAGUAUGGUGUUAUCAAGCGUAUUGUCUUGUGAAAAAUUGAUGAUUGCAUCUGCACUUCGUAUCUAAUUGUGUUAUUUCAGAGCUAAUAUUUUUACUAAUUAUUCUAUUCUUUCCACUUCUUGUAUAAACAGACCAGGACCAGUAUUCUGAACCUCAUACCAUUAAGGUAGUCAGCUAAUUUUUUUUAUAGAUGCACUAACUGAUUGCUAAUUUCAGCUUUGUUCUUCAUUACUGCAGGGCAUAUCUGUAUUCUAAGGAAAAUUAGUACACCUGGUAAUUGUUUCUUGACAUGGCUAUUCCAUCGAGGUUUAAUUCUAUGAUACACAACUAAUAGUUUGUUGGUAUGCAUAACUAUCUUGCCAAAGGUUUUGCCUGUGUAUAUCACUUCGUAGUCGAAAGUGUUUGCUGCAAUCAUUAUGAGCAUCAUGUUUGCCUUUUUGUGGAAAAAUAGUGUAGAACUCUUCUUGCUACUAUCAUCAACUCUCAGCGAGUCAGUGAUGGACAGGAUUAUCAUUCAUGUAUUUGAACAAUUGACUCAGGGUCUAUUCAUAGAUGCGUUAAUUUGUUUUUGUAUGACUCCUUUCUUCCAUCAAUGUUUUUACAUCCAAAUGAACUACACUAUUCUUAUACAGUCAAAUUAGAAUAUUUUGAUUUUUUGAUGAUCACAUAAAUAAAUGAAUAUCCACGGUUAUCCGGGAGGGAGGGAGAUGGAGAGAUAGAGAGAGCGUGCAUUUAAUAUUUGAUAGCUUCCUUUACUAAAUCACCUCUCUGAUGGAGCUGCAGUUUUGCAUGUUUAAAAUGAAUGAGUAUGUAAAGAUUAGCGACAUUUUCUUACAAGCACCUGCAAUAUUUGCAUAAAAUGCUUUCCUAGGGCUGGUCAACUCUUUUUAUUUCUGUCAUAGUACACAUGUCUAUCACCACAAAUUGCCAUAUGUUUUUCAACGGUGCAUGAGCUGUGAGUUGCCCUAUUAUUUUAAGAGUUCAUAAGUUGGGUUGACUGUGAGACUCUAAAUACAUGAUACAUGGUCUUGUACAAUUUAUAUUACUGGUUUUAUACUCGUUAUUAUCUUAACAUAAAUAUUUUUGUGAUUAAAGUUGCAGGUUAUUCCUUUGAAUGAUCUAAGAAAUAUAUUUGGAUUAGGGAAGCGUGAAGCACAAGCAAUCACCUCAGAUAUCGAAUCUCGAGCAUACAGAAAUAAGCUUAUAAAAUCCUUUAGUACUGAUUUGGUUGUUGCUCCUAACAAAGCAUCAUUCCUCCAAAAUCUCUGUCAAGAGUUAUAGUUUGAUCCUGAACUUGCUAGCAAGAUGCAUAAAGAUACCAAGCUGACACUUGUUUUUUGUAUUGCAUCAUUAAUUUUACAGCAUAGUUCUAUGUUAGCUCAAAAUUUGAUCUUGCUCCUGCUAGCAAGAUGUGUACCAUAUUAGCUACAGUUUGAAGGAUAUAAUCCUUUUGUUUCAAGACUGAUGGUUAAACAUUCCUCCAGUGUGAAAGUUAUUAUUUUC